CCGCAAGCAGCGGUACUUGAGCUGUGCGUUUGCUGCUCUGAUCAGUCACCGCGCAGUGCGGUGUCUCCGCUGGUUCGUGUCUGUGCCGGUAGGUGUGGGCGUGCGCGCUGCGCUGUGUGCUGCCAUCUCUGGAUUUAGCAUCUGCUUUUGUCACGCGUGUCUCCCUUAUUUAUGAAUGAGUGGGUGAGGGAGGAGAGGGCUGGGCUGCCUCCUGCACCGCUGUACAGUAAAGAGCAUAGGAGCUGAAGCACAAUCUCCUCCUCCUCCUCCUCCUUCCCGGCACUGCUUCACUGCCAGCCUUGCUCACAGCUGGGAGGAGGGCGGCCUCGCUGGCAGCCCGAGCCGGCACUGGGACACUGGAAGUUUUGCACUGAUCACACUGCAGGGAAAACCGCGUUGUAUAAACUCUACUCGCAGGUUAUUGACAUCCUUCAGCAAAUCAUCACCUCAAGAUAAAGGUUGUGUGGAAGAAAUAAAUGAUAUAUGACACUGAAUGAAAUUAAGGUUUACACUGAGCCAUUUGGGACCCCGAUGAGUGA
rnacentral:lncRNA from 1 species